rnacentral:rRNA from 1 species
CUACGGGGGGCAGCAGUGAGGAAUAUUGCACAAUGGGGGGAACCCUGAUGCAGCAACACCGCGUGGAGGAUGACGCAUUUCGGUGUGUAAACUCCUUUUAUAUGUCAAGAAAAUGACGGUAGCAUAUGAAUAAGCGCCGGCUAACUCCGUGCCAGCAGCCGCGGUAAUACGGAGGGCGCAAGCGUUACUCGGAAUCACUGGGCGUAAAGGACGCGUAGGCGGGUUGGAAAGUCAGGUGUGAAAUCCUACAGCUUAACUGUAGAACUGCACUUGAAACUUCUAAUCUAGAGUAUGGGAGGGGGAGAUGGAAUUAGUGGUGUAGGGGUAAAAUCCGUAGAUAUCACUAGGAAUACCUAAAGCGAAGGCGAUCUCCUGGAACAUUACUGACGCUAAGGCGUGAAAGCGUGGGGAGCAAACAGGAUUAGAUACCCCGGUAGUC